rnacentral:rRNA from 1 species
GUCUGUAAGAAUUUAAAUUUACAGUCUAGCCUGCCCACUGAAUUUUGAAGGGCCGCGGUAAUUUGACCGUGCGAAGGUAGCAUAAUCAUUAGUCUUUUAAUUGAAGGCUUGUAUGAAUGGUUGGAUGAAGAAUUAGCUGUCUUUUUGUUGUUUUGAAUUUAACUUUUAAGUGAAAAGGCUUAAAUUAGCUAGUGGGACGAUAAGACCCUAUAAAACUUUAUAUAAUUAAAUUAUAAUAAGAGUAUUAUGUAUAAGUCUAUUGUAAUUACAUUAUAUUUUAUUGGGGAGAUACUUAUAUAAUUUGUAACUGUAUAAUAAAUUAAAUAAUUAUAAUUAGAUUUUGACCCUUUAUUAAGGAUUAGUAGAUUAAGUUACUUUAGGGAUAACAGCGUUAUUUUCUCUGAGAGUUCUUAUCGACGAGAGUAGUUGCGACCUCGAUGUUGAAUUAAAAUUUUAGGGAGGUGUAGUGGUUUCCCUGAUAGGUCUGUUCGACCUUUAAAAUUUU